UACGAAGGGGGCUAGCGUUGUUCGGAAUUACUGGGCGUAAAGCGCACGUAGGCGGAAUGUUAAGUCAGGGGUGAAAUCCCGGGGCUCAACCCCGGAACUGCCUUUGAUACUGGCAUUCUCGAGUCCUGAAGAGGUGAGUGGAAUUCCGAGUGUAGAGGUGAAAUUCGUAGAUAUUCGGAGGAACACCAGUGGCGAAGGCGGCUCACUGGUCCGGUACUGACGCUGAGGUGCGAAAGCGUGGGGAGCAAACAGG
rnacentral:rRNA from 1 species